GACGUAGGGCGCGAGCGUUGUCCGGAUUUAUUGGGCGUAAAGAGCUCGUAGGCGGCUUGUCGCGUCGACUGUGAAAUCCCGCGGCUCAACCGCGGGUCUGCAGUCGAUACGGGCAGGCUAGAGUUCGGUGAGGGGAGACUGGAAUUCCUGGUGUAGCGGUGAAAUGCGCAGAUAUCAGGAGGAACACCCGAUGGCGAAGGCAGGUCUCUGGGCCGAUACUGACGCUGAGGAGCGAAAGCGUGGGGAGCGAACAGG
rnacentral:rRNA from 1 species